CCUACGGGGCGCUGCAGUGGGGAAUAUUGCACAAUGGGGGAAACCCUGAUGCAGCGACGCCGCGUGAGUGAAGAAGUAUUUCGGUACGUAAAGCUCUAUCAGCAGGGAAGAAAAUGACGGUACCUGACUAAGAAGCCCCGGCUAACUACGGGCCAGCAGCCGCGGUAAUACGUAGGGGGCAAGCGUUAUCCGGAUUUACUGGGUGUAAAGGGAGCGUAGACGGCAGCGCAAGUCUGGAGUGAAAUCCCAUGGCUUAACCAUGGAACUGCUUUGGAAACUGUGCAGCUAGAGUGCAGGAGAGGUAAGCGGAAUUCCUAGUGUAGCGGUGAAAUGCGUAGAUAUUAGGAGGAACACCAGUGGCGAAGGCGGCUUACUGGACUGUAACUGACGUUGAGGCUCGAAAGCGUGGGGAGCAAACAGGAUUAGAUACCCCAGUAGUC
rnacentral:rRNA from 1 species